UACGAAGGGUGCAAGCGUUACUCGGAAUUACUGGGCGUAAAGCGUGCGUAGGUGGUUUGUUAAGUCUGAUGUGAAAGCCCCGGGCUCAACCUGGGAAUGGCGAUGGAUACUGGCGGGCUAGAGUGCGGUAGAGGAGAGUGGAAUUCCCGGUGUAGCAGUGAAAUGCGUAGAGAUCGGGAGGAACAUCAGUUGCGAAGGCGGCUCUCUGGACCAGCACUGACACUGAGGCACGAAAGCGUGGGGAGCAAACAGG
rnacentral:rRNA from 1 species